CUUUUUCUGUCUUAUUCAAACCAUAAUCCUAGCACCUAGCACCAGGCCUGACACAGAAGGUUUAAACAGGAUAUAUUUUUCCUAUAAAACUGGAUAUAAAGACUCACUUGGAAAUAUUUGGUGAAGAAGGAUGAAGAUAAAUAUCCAAUCACAUGGCUGAUGAAUUCCACAUAUUAGAAGUUUCUUGUGUAUGGGAACUAUCAUUCUGGCUUCCAGAGGAAUCGAAGGGGCCUCGCAGUCCCAGUGCAAUCCCAGCCGCCUUCCAGCGCUCACAAUCAAGAUACAAGUCUCCAGAGGGCUUGGCUCCACGCGGUCAUUAGACAUGAUGGCAUUCCUGGCAUGCUGGGGCCGCACGCUCUGUCCUCCCAAAUAAACGGUUCUCUUACAGCUUCACACUAUGCGUUACUCCUUCUAUUAACACAGGAGCUGACAGAUUGGCUGAGAAGCUGCAACUAAUAUAUUUGAGGACAUAAGAGAUGAUUGUGCUGGUUCUAAUUCCAGAGCCGAUCUUUUUAGCAGAUUAUGAUGGAUGACCCGCCACGGUGGUCAGUGCCUCCUGUAUAUUUUAGGCGGAAUGCUUUCUUUUGACACAUACUUUACAGAGACAUAUGUGUACCCUAUUUUAAUUAAUGGAAGAAAUGAUUCAUUCACAAGUGAAAGAUUUAAUUAAAUAAAGGGUCAGCCUGGGUC